CUACGGGCCGCUGCAGUCGAGAAUCUUCGGCAAUGGGCGAAAGCCUGACCGAGCGACGCCGCAUGCGGGAAGAAGACCUUCGGGUUGUAAACCGCUUUUAUGGAGGAGGAAGUUUUCUGACGUUACUCCAUGAAUAAGGGGGGGCUAAUCACGUGCCAGCAGCAGCGGUAAUACGUGACCCUCAAAUGUUGUCCGGAUUUAUUGGGCGUAAAGAGUCUUAAGGCGGUCUGGAAAGUCUUUGGUUAAAGCUUUGGAGCUUAACUCCAUGGUUGCCGAGGAUACUUCCAAACUUAGAGGGCGUUAAAGGCCAGCGGAACGCACGGUGUAGGGGUGGAAUCCGUUGAUAUCGUGCGGAACACCAAAUGCGAUGGCAGCUGGCUGGGGCGACCCUGACGCUGAUUGACGAAAGCUAGGGUAUCGAAGAGGAUUAGAUACCCCCGUAGUC
rnacentral:rRNA from 1 species